rnacentral:lncRNA from 10 species
CUCAUUACUGCCUUGCAGUUUGAUCUCAGACUGCUGUGCUAGCAAUCAGCGAGACUCCCUGGGCGUAGGACCCUCCGAGCCAGGUGUGGGAAAUAAUCUCCUGGUGCACCGUUUCCUAAGCCCGUCGGAAAAGCGCAGUAUUUGGGUGGGAGUGGCCCGAUUUUCCAGGUGCCCUCCUUUCCUUGACCAGGAAAGGGAACUCCCUGACCCCUUACGCUUCCCAAGUGAGGCAAUGCCUCGCCCUGCUUCGGCUGGCGCACGGUGCCCUGCACCCACUGUCUGGCACUCCCUAGUGAGAUGAACCCGGUACCUCAGAUGGAAAUGCAGAAAUCACCCAUCUUCUGCGUGGCUCAUGCUGGGAGCUGUAGACCAGAGCUGUUCCUAUUCAGCCAUCUUGGCUCCCGGAUCCAGUUUAACUUUUGCAGAGAGACAAGAUCUCUCUCCAUUGCCAACACUGGUCUCAAACUCCUGGCCUCAAGCAAUCAUCCAACCUCAGCCUUCUGAGUACCGGGAUUACAAGUGCGAGCCACUGUGCCCAGCUCCUGUUUCUACUUUCUUAAGGCAAACCACUUCAAUAGAACAUGGCUGGCGGCCAUAUGGACAUAUUUGAAUCCAACAAUUAAUUCAGCAAAGAAAGCUGCUUGUGGCAAGUUUUGAAUGUGCCAUUCCAGGUAGUGCUUUGAUGAUAAAUGAGGAGAAGAUUGCAAAGAAAAUGACAGCAACAUUUAUAAAAGGUUACAGGAAUGCAGAUGUGAUUCCUAUGGAUGAGGGUAACCUAGAGGCUAGAAGAACAAUAGGACAGAAGAAGCCUGGGUCCCUGAACAACCUUGUGGAGCAUAGACACCUACGUGGCCUGGACUGCCAGCUCACAAUGGGCCUCUCUGUGAGAGAAGGAAACUUCCCUCUUGUUUAAGCAACUGUGCUUUUGAGAAUCUCUUGGUCUAUACCCUAAUGAAUAAGGCCAUCAUAAAUGGAUAUCAAAGUAAGGAAAUUUGUGUAAAUGAUUUAAUAAAACAUUACCUCAGGUAUGAAAUAAUUCUACCUUGUGCCUUGACAACAUCAGGUAUUAUUCAUGCCCUUUUCUCUCCCUGUAAUGUCUCUUAUCCACGGGUAGAAAUUAUAUUUUCCAUCUAAGGUUUGCUCAAAUAUUAUCUACUUAAGUAGCUCUUACCAAUUUUGCCUCUCCUCCUGAGCUGACCCUAUGCCUUCUAUGCUGUUCCAGGUAAUAUUAAUCUCUUCCUUUGUACUUCUUUCACAGAACAUACUUUUUUGUCUAACAUAAUAACUAUAGGCAUAAGUGUAUAGAUUCCACUAGGGGCUUCAGAACAGAAACUAUCAUCUUAUUAAUUUUUUUCUCCCUGAUAUCUAGGGAAAUAUGUUAUAUAUAAUAGGCCCUUAGUAAUCCCAUAAAUGUUUGUGAGAUAUUCACUGACUAUAAGCCAUACUCUGUAUUUAUUUAGCUAAAACAGACGUCUUUCAUAUUUAGUUAGCAGAAAAUGCUCACAUUUACUCCUUUCCUGUUUACCAAAUGAAAGGGUAAUUGUUUUUUCACAGAUUGCACUAGAAAAGUGUCUUCUCUCUCUUUUUCAAAUAGAUUGUCUUUAAAACAUAUGACAGGAAAAGUGACUAUUGUUAGGAUAAGAUAAUUACGAUUGUAACAGCUAGUUUAAAAGAAGUGUCAGUUGCUCCUGUUUUAUUUUUCACAGGAUAGAGCUGCGGCCUGUCUCAGUAUGAUGUUUUCAGGAUCUGGUAUAUAUUUUUAUUUUCCUACAUGAAUCUUUCAUCCUUUUACUGACAUUUAUUCAUUUUAUCUAAUUAUCCUAAAAGGAAAGCUCUGGCCAGGCAAAUUGGUUGUUGUCUGCCUCUGAAGAGACAUUCAUAUCGCGUCGCUUAGCUUUCAAGUUUUGUGAUCAGGAACCCUCAGGCCCAUUUUUAAGGAGGUUUCAGGCUAGCUGAGCUUCACUGUCUCCCAAAAUGUACAAAAUGAGAUUACAUGAGGGACAAGAUCAAUUUACUGGAAGGUACUUAAGCAGUAAAUCUGGAGCUUUUUGUCCAGUCACUAUUGCUUUCAAGCUUUGUAGCAGAAAAUUAAGCCACAAGAGCUUUGACAAAUUAGAUAUUACUACCUCUAAUUGUGUAUGUUUAAGCUUAUCACACUGAAUUGCAGCAUUGUAACUGACUAUUAUGCCAACAAGGCCUUCGUUUAAUCAGCGCAGUGCCAUUUAAUCGCAAUUAAUCACUCAACUAAAAUGUCAUAUUAAGGUCACAGAAACUUGAAGGGCUAAAAGAAAAGAGAACAUUAAAGUCAGCUGAUGGAGGAAAAGAGCAUGGUGUGCCAAGGGAAGUUCUGAGCACUCUUUUUCAUUAGAAGCUGGUAGAACAUUUAAUGAGAAUUCAGUCUUAACUUUCAGCUGAGAUCAGAACAACGUGCC